rnacentral:rRNA from 1 species
AGUCUUGUAAUUGGAAUGAUGGGAAUUUAAACCUCUUCCAGAGUAUCAAUUGGAGGGCAAGUCUGGUGCCAGCAGCCGCGGUAAUUCCAGCUCCAAUAGCGUAUAUUAAAAUUGUUGCAGUUAAAAAGCUCGUAGUUGAAUUUCUGCUGCAUUGCUUGUGUCCCUCUGGGGUCUGUGCAUGUGGCUUUUUUCGGACGGAGUUUCUUUGUCUGAAUGUUUACUUUGAGAAAAUUAGAGUGCUCAAAGCAGGCUUUCGCCUUGAAUAGUUUAGCAUGGAAUAAUAAAGUAGGACUUUGGUUCUAUUUUGUUGGUUUUAGGUACCAAAGUAAUGGUUAAUAGGAACAGUUGGGGGCAUUCGUAUUUAACUGUCAGAGGUGAAAUUCUUAGA